rnacentral:rRNA from 1 species
UACGUAGGGGCCAAGCGUUGUCCGGAUUUAUUGGGCGUAAAGAGCUCGUAGGCGGUUGGGUAAGUUGGGUGUGAAAACUCCAGGCUCAACUUGGAGAUGCCACCCGAUACUGCUCUGACUUGAGUUCGGUAGGGGAGUGGGGAAUUCCUGGUGUAGCGGUGAAAUGCGCAGAUAUCAGGAGGAACACCGGUGGCGAAGGCGCCACUCUGGGCCGAAACUGACGCUGAGGAGCGAAAGCGUGGGGAGCGAACAGG